CGGACGAAUGCAAGACAGAACCGACGCCAACAUUUCACUCAAUUCAUCGAAGAGAAAUCAUUGAAAAUGGCAUUUGUGUGGAUUGCAUACUAUGAAUGCGUGAACUGCAGUUUUGAAUACCAAACAACGAAUACUGAAGAAACGAAAAUGCGUUUGUGCCUUUGCUGCGGAAAAUACAACAAACCAACCGAAGAAAAACGUGAGCGGGUCUUUUAGACAACGAACUCUACAGUGAACAUGCGAUUGGAUGCAAAAAAUGGAUUAUUACAUACAGUAUACCAUGGAAGCUAUGGAAUUGAAAAUAAAAUCAUUGUUUUGCUUUUGAAAGAGUCAUAGUUUCUCAAUAAAGUCCAAUCCUCGUGUGGGAAUUGAUGCAAAAAAGCAA